GCCAGCCCUUCAUUACAUUGGUCCAUUUGCUCAGCGGGCCCUCCAUGAUAGACGCCAUCUUAGCACCGGACCGGCACCGCCGCGCACGCCGCGCGUUCGUUUAGAUCCUCAUGGUUUCCAGCCAGAAGGAAGACACUGCUGGUCAGAGUAACUACCAGUGAAGGACCAGGGUAGAAAAUGGAAGCAAGAGAACACUGGAAGUCUGAUUCUUUAUGAAAAAAUGCUUUUCUGUUGUAAUUUUGCUGAAGUUAUGGCUGAGCUCAGAAGAACCUCAGUGAUGAAGUUGUGGCUUGUGGGUUUCCUUCAGGGUGUCUGGGAGUGUGGCUGGCAGCAGUGAAAGUGCCUUUUGGUUCUCCCAACAGCUGCAAUUGCUUGGGGUUCUGAGGAACAUAAGGAAGACAUUUGAGAAGAGAACAAAUAACAAAUAACAAAUAAUUUUGUUUCAGUUUCUUGUCCAACUUCAGAAAUGUUCUGGUAGUUUAAUUUUGUAUUUCUUUUUCUGUAAGUUCACUGUGUCAACUACUGAUAAUGUAAUCAUCAUAAUUAAUAAUUUAUGUUUUAGUGGGGUGAUAGUGGAUGAUUAUUUUUUCGCUUGUUGGUAGCAAAUAAUGUCUUUUAUUUGUACCUUCAGGGAAAUAUUCCCUCCAUUUUAUUUUUUACGGGUAAUAAAUGCAGUAAUAAACUACA